UACGAAGGGGGGCUAGCGUUGCUCGGAAUGACUGGGCGUAAAGGGCGCGUAGGCGGAUGGCACAGUCAGAUGUGAAAUUCCCGGGCUUAACCUGGGGGGCUGCAUUUGAUACGUGUUGUCUUGAGUUCGGAAGAGGGUCGUGGAAUUCCCAGUGUAGAGGUGAAAUUCGUAGAUAUUGGGAAGAACACCGGUGGCGAAGGCGGCGACCUGGUCCGACACUGACGCUGAGGCGCGAAAAGCGUGGGGGAGCAAACAGG
rnacentral:rRNA from 1 species